rnacentral:rRNA from 1 species
AGAGUUUGAUUAUGGCUCAGGAUGAACGCUGGCGGCGUGCCUAAUACAUGCAAGUAGAACGCUGAAGCUUGGUGCUUGCACCGAGCGGAUGAGUUGCGAACGGGUGAGUAACGCGUAGGUAACCUGCCUGGUAGCGGGGGAUAACUAUUGGAAACGAUAGCUAAUACCGCAUAACAGUAGAUAUUGCAUGAUAUCUGCUUGAAAGAUGCAAUUGCAUCACUACCAGAUGGACCUGCGUUGUAUUAGCUAGUUGGUGAGGUAACGGCUCACCAAGGCGACGAUACAUAGCCGACCUGAGAGGGUGAUCGGCCACACUGGGACUGAGACACGGCCCAGACUCCUACGGGAGGCAGCAGUAGGGAAUCUUCGGCAAUGGGGGGAACCCUGACCGAGCAACGCCGCGUGAGUGAAGAAGGUUUUCGGAUCGUAAAGCUCUGUUGUAAGAGAAGAACGAGUGUGAGAGUGGAAAGUUCACACUGUGACGGUAACUUACCAGAAAGGGACGGCUAACUACGUGCCAGCAGCCGCGGUAAUACGUAGGUCCCGAGCGUUAUCCGGAUUUAUUGGGCGUAAAGCGAGCGCAGGCGGUUAGAUAAGUCUGAAGUUAAAGGCUGUGGCUUAACCAUAGUACGCUUUGGAAACUGUUUAACUUGAGUGCAGAAGGGGAGAGUGGAAUUCCAUGUGUAGCGGUGAAAUGCGUAGAUAUAUGGAGGAACACCGGUGGCGAAAGCGGCUCUCUGGUCUGUAACUGACGCUGAGGCUCGAAAGCGUGGGGAGCAAACAGGAUUAGAUACCCCGGUAGU